rnacentral:rRNA from 1 species
GAAUGGAAGGGCCAACGCUCAACGGAUAAAAGGUACUCCGGGGAUAACAGGCUGAUACCGCCCAAGAGUUCAUAUCGACGGCGGUGUUUGGCACCUCGAUGUCGGCUCAUCACAUCCUGGGGCUGAAGUAGGUCCCAAGGGUAUGGCUGUUCGCCAUUUAAAGUGGUACGCGAGCUGGGUUUAGAACGUCAUGAGACAGUUCGG